rnacentral:lncRNA from 1 species
CUAGAUGGCUCCUAAGUUUCCUUGCAUCUCUAAAUCCCCUUAAGCUUUCACCUGCCCUACCUUUUCACAGAGAGUUAGCAAAGAUGGCUUCUUGAGGUCCACACUACCUCUAUGACUAUGCUAACACCUUAAGAAUGGCCAACCCUAGAAUCAGGUGAAGCUCAGAAGUGUCCUACUGAGUCUGUGCUGGGUUUCUCCACGUUGUAAGGCCCUUUGGCCUAUUGUUCUUUAACUUGAGGAAAGAGAAAAGGAAGAGGAAUGAUUAUCACCAGCAGCAUGACCAGAGCUAAAACAGGGCUAAUGAGAUAUUUUAGGAUUCAGGGAUUAAUUACCUCAUGGCCUGAUUGCCCUCUGUCCUUCUGAUAAACUUAGAUAAGAUCACCUUUGAGACUGAGGGAACUUGCCCAGAAAGAGUGACUCAGCUAAUGCAAGAGAUCCGAAGGUUUAGGAUAGACUAGUCUGGAAUAACAGGUCUUUGGGAGGGACAUCCUCUUAAGCUGCCUAACCACCCUUCCAGGAAAAUUCACAUGUUUUACUUCUCCCUUUGUCCUCCUGCAAAUAUAUUGUGGAUUUUACAUCACUCCCAAUACAAACAAGAACGUCUAUUCAAAGUGUGAAAAUAAAAAAGCUUUCCCCUUUAUUUUGCAUAUUUUUCCUGUCUCCAGCUAACCAAUUGCUACUUAGAAUUAAGUUAUAAACAUUGAUUCACAUCUUAUAUCAUGAGCUCACAGGUUUUUGUUUGCCUUUGUUCUAUUGUGCCCAUUUCAAGGAUAACUCAAUGACCUUAUGGCAAAACCACCCAAUGCCAGACACAGACAAGUACGGAAAAUCACAAAAAUAGGAAGGCACAGAUGAAAACCAAGAGUUGAGCAAUAAGACACAAUGUGCCCUGCAAGGUCUUUGUGGGCACAGAUCGCAUUCCAUAAUCCACAGUCCUUUGCUAUGCUUCCGCCGUCCCGCCAUGAUCCACAUCGUCUCUUAAGUACCCAGUUCCUUCCUUUCUUCCCAGCCCUGCUGCCUGUCACAUAGAAAUCUGGUCAGAUUUCACAUCUGUUGAAAAAGUCACAAACACAGUAAGUACCCUACUUUCUUUGUUUUUGUCGCCUGAAGGAAAGGUUCUAAAUAGAAUGGAAGGUGGGAGGAGAAGUCAGACAAUGUAGGAAUUAGGUAGUUGAGCACAGGGAAUUUGUAUUUAUUCUAUAUGUGUACAUGAAUAUACACUUAUUGUUUUCAUCCAUUAGACUGCAAUCUCCUUGAGAGCAAGAAUUGUUUCAUUCUCUGCAUUUGUAGCCCCAGUGCCUAGCUCAGUGCUGGCACAAAGUAGGUGCUCAAUAAAUGCUCAUUGACUUGAAUUAAACUGAUUGGG